rnacentral:rRNA from 1 species
GACGAACGCUGGCGGCGUGCCUAAUACAUGCAAGUAGAACGCAGUUGCGAACGGGUGAGUAACGCGUAGGUAACUGCCUGGUAGCGGGGGAUAACUCUUGGAAACGAUAGCUAAUACCGCAUACUACCAGAUGGACCUGCGUUGUAUUAGAUAGUUGGUGGGGGAACGGCUCACCAAGGCAACGAUACAUAGAGGACCUUGGAGGGUGUUCCGCCACGCUGGGACUGAGACACGACCCAGCCUCCUACGGUAGGGAGCAGUAGGGAUUCUUCGGCAAUGUGGGGAACCCUGACCGAGCAACGGCGCGUGAGUGAAGAAGGUUUUCGGAUCGUAAAGCUCUGUUGUUAAGGAAGCGGUACUUAACCAGAAAGGGACGGCUAACUACGUGCCAGCAGCCGCGGUAAUUC